rnacentral:rRNA from 1 species
AAGCAUAUAAUUAAGCGGAGGAAAAGAAACUAACCAGGAUUCCCUUAGUAACGGCGAGUGAAGCGGGAAGAGCUCAGACUUGAAAUCUUCGGAAUUGUAGUCUGCAUAAGCUAGGUCAGCUGUCGCAAUCAGUAAAGUGUCCUGGAACGGACUACCAAGGAGGGUGACAGUCCCGUCUACACUGAUUGUUAAAGCGUACGGCCGGUUUUCAAAGAGUCGAGUUGCUUGGGACUGCAGCUCUAAGUGGGUGGUAAAUUCCAUCUAAAGCUAAAUAUUGGUGGGAGACCGAUAGCAAACAAGUACCGUGAGGGAAAGAUGAAAAGAACUUUGAAAAGAGAGUUAAAGAGUACCUGAAAUUGCUGAAAUGGAACCGAUGGGAGGCAGUGUUGGUGUGCGACUUUUUGUGUGGUCCGCCUGCGGACUGUACCUUGUGGUCGUGCACAAGUUCGGCUUCUUUGGAUGAUUGGCAGAGACCCCAAACCCGUGUGGGUUGGGAUAAUCGUCAGUUGUUUGAAGGACUCGAACGAAAUGCCUCUUAUCAUCCCGUCUUGAAACACGGACCAAGGAGUCUAACAUGUUUGCAAGUGCUCGGAGUUCAUCUCCAAGCGCGGAAUUAAUGUGAAUGUGACCUAGUCACUAAGGUAGGAAGCUCUGGCUGCACUAUCGACCGACCAUGAUCCUCCGGGAGAAAGGUUUGAGUGUGAGCAUACAUGUUGGGACCCGAAAGAUGGUGAACUAUGCUUGAGUAGGACGAAGCCAGGGGAAACUCUGGUGGAGGUCCGCAGCGAUUCUAACGUGCAAAUUGAUCGUCGAACUUGGGUAUAGGGGCGAAAGACUAAUCGAACCAUCUAGUAGCUGGUUCCUCCCGAAAUUUCCCUCAGGAUAGCUGCAACCGAAUAGUUUUAUCAGGUAAAGCGAAUGAUUAGAGGCAUCAGGGGUGGAACGUCCUUGACCUAUUCUCAAACUUUAAAUGGGUAAGAGCCCGAGGUUGCUUAAUUGAACCUUGCGGUCGAAUGACGGUUGCUAGUGGGCCAAUCUGGGUAAGCUAGAUUGGCGAUGCGGGAUGAACCGAACGUCGAGUUAAAGUGCCAAAGUAUCCGCUAACCUAGAUCCCACAAAAGGUGUUGGUUCAUUAAGACAGCAGGACGGUGGCCAUGGAAGUCGGAACCCGCUAAGGAGUGUGUAACAACUCACCUGCCGAAUGAACUAGCCCUGAAAAUGGAUGGCGCUGAAGCGGAUCACUUAUACUCGACCAACCCUGCAAGUACGAAGCAGUGUUGAGUAGGGGGGCGUGGAGCUCGUUGUGCAUUCUGUGGCGUGAGCCGGGAUGAAACGGGUUCUAGUGCAGAUCUUGGUAGCAGUAGCAAAUAUUCAAAUGAGAACUUUGAAGACUGACGUGGAGAAAGGUUCCAUGUGAACAGUAAUUGGACAUGGGUGAGUCGAUCCUAAGAGAUAGGAGAAUUCUUUUUCAAAGUGAUCCUUUUUCGGAAGGAUCCGCCUAUCGAAAGGGAAUCGGGUUAAUAUUCCCGAACCAGGACGUGGAUAUUGAGUGGCAACACAAGCGAAAUCGGGAACGUUGGCGGGAGCCCCGGGAAGAGUUCUCUUUUCUUUUUAACAGCUCGGUGGACCUUGGAAUCGGAUUGACCGGCGAUAAGGUUCUCUGGCUGGGAAAGCGGCAUACUUUUUGUGCCGUCCGGUGCGCUCCCGACGAUCCGUGAAACCCCGGUGGCGUGACUUAUUUACACCUCUGGUCGUACUCAUAACCGCCUCAGGUCUCCAAGGUGCGCAGCCUCUAGUCAAUAGAACAAUGUAGAUAAGGGAAGUCGGCAAAAUAGAUCCGUAACCUCGGGAUAAGGAUUGGCUCUGAGGGUUGGGCCUAGGGGUCUCAGGAACAAAAGAUGUGGCGGUUAGGAGGGGACUGCGGCUCACGCUGUGGACCCCACCCGACUGCUCUCUGGCGGUCUUGAGAACGUCUUCGGACUUUCCCUAGUGCGAUGAACAACCAACUCAGAACUGGAGCGGACAAGGGGAAU